rnacentral:lncRNA from 1 species
CACCCUUCAAUCCAAUCAAGUUGACACUCAGUAUUAACCAUCACACCAUUAGACAGUGGGAAUCACUCCCUCUUUUUCCCAGCCCCUGGAAACCACGAAUCUAUUUCCCGUCUCUAUAGAUUUGCCUAUUUUGGACAUUUCACUUAAAUGGAAUCAAAGAAUGUAUGGUCUUUUGUGCCUGGCUCCUUUCACUUAACAUAAUGUUUUCAACAUUCAUUCAUGUUUUUGCAUUCAAUCCUUUUAUUACCAAAUAACAUUCCAUUGUUUGGAUAUACCACAUUUUGUUUUUCCAUUCAUCUGUUGAUGGACGUUUAGUUUGCUUCCCCUUAUUGGCUAUUUUGAAUAAUUCUGUUAUAAACAUUCAUGUACAAGUUGUUAUGUGGACAUAUCUUUCUCUUUCUCUUGGGUAGAUACCUAGAAGUGGAAUUGCUAUGUCAUAUGAUAACUCUAUAUGUAACAUUUUUAGGAACUGCCAGACUAUUUCCCAAAGUGGGUGUACCAUUUUACAUCCCCACCAGCAAUGAAUGAGGCUCCAAUUUCUCCACACAUUUAUCAACACUUAAUAUCUUAUUAUUAUUAUUAUUAUUAUUAUUAUUAUUAUUAUUGAGACAGAGUCUUGCUCUGUCACCAAGCUGGAGUGCAGUGGUGCAAUCUCAGCUCACUGCAACCUCCGCCUCCCAGGUUCAAGCGAUUCUCCUGCCUCAGCCUCCCAAGAAGCUGGGACUACACGCAUCCGCUUAUUAUUAUUAUUAUUAUUACAGACAUCCUAAUGGGUGUAACUUGGUAUCUCAUCAUGGUUUUGAUUUGCAUUUCCCUGCUAACUAAGAAUAGUCAGUUUUUUUCAUGUGUUCCUUCUUAAAGUCUGUCCUUAAAGUUCAAUAAAUGCCUGACUUCCUGACAUAAGAAAAAAGCAAAAAAGCACUGAAGGUCAUCACUUUAGAUUGGACAGAUCAGGAUUGCCUAACCCAGAAGUGACAUGAACACUGUCCACAGGUAUCAAGCUGAGUAAAGCCACAAUGUAACUGAGGGAAGCUCUGAGAACCCAUUCAUGUAUUUAAUUCUUGGCAUUAAGGAGGAUGUUUUAAAUCUGAAAUUUACCGUGAUAAAAUAUACUUGUAUAUGUAUAAUGUGUUGGAAGGCGCUUUAAUAUAUGAAAAAAGCGUAGACUUAGAAAUCAAAUGAAUCUGAAUGUUAUUCCUAUUCUGCCAUUUGUUAAUUAGUUGGCUUUGGGCAAGUCAAUCUCUACAAGGCUCAGCUUCCUCACUGGUUACACAGGGAAGCAAAUACCUAAUUCACAGGUUUGUUGUGAAAAUUAAAUUAAAUAAUAGACAGAACCUGCCACUUGGUGAUCACCCCAAUAAGCUGUGGUCCCUUUCUCUUUCUCCUAAUACUUGACGGGGGACAGUUUCGCUGUAGCACAUUGUCAUGGCUUUCAUAACUGUUACACGUUUCAUAGCAACAAGAUGUUCUCUUGGUCGAGGAAAGGAAUUUCCUGUUGUAUUUACUUAGUGUUUGUCAAGGGCCGAUGAUCUGGGGGCCUGAGCCAAUCAGCACACACUCCAGAGCCUUCUCCUAGCCUGGUUCUCAGCAGCUGAGCAAGUUCAAAGAAGAAUCUAAUUGCAUUUUCCCCCGACCUUAAGGACCUCAGAAUCUUCAUGUUGACAACACAGGGAGUUGGUGAGAUGGCUCAAAUGGUACAGAGAAAAUGUGCUGUGUGCUCAGAGGCGAGAUCCCUGGAAGCCUGGGUUUUCUGGGAAGGGUCUUCAAGGUCUUCUAAAUUAAUGAAGAACACAAAUGCCUCAUAACAACAUUCCUUUGAGCUCUUAUUCUGUGUAAGGGACUGCAUUUGUACUUAUCUACCUAGAAGAAUACUUCAGGCCAGGUGCGGUGGCUUGCACCUGUAAUCUCAGAACUUUGGGAGGCUGAGGUGGGAGGAUUGCUUGAGCUCAGGAGUUUGAAACUAGCCCGGGCAACAUGGUGAGACCUUGUCUCUACUAAAAAUAAAUUUUAAAAAUCAGCUGGCACGGUGAUGCAUGCCUGUAGUCCCAGAUACUCAAGAGGCUGAGUUGGGAGGAUUAAUCAAGCCUAGGAUUUCAAGGCUGCAGUGAGCUAUGACUGUGCCACUACACUACAGCGUGAGUGACAGAGUGAGACUCUGUCUCAAAAAAAGGAAUACUUUCACAUUUGAUAUUUUUCAUUUCGCCAUUUUUCAACCUUAAACUAACACCCAAAAUGCUACAUUAAUUUUAUGAUCUAGGACAUGCAUUUUUCCAAAUUGCAUAAAAUUCUGAGUCUCCUUAAACAAAACAGAAAAAAAAAUGUUUCCCAGGGGAGUCUGUUUGCUUCCCAGCAGUUCCAGGAAAUGCUGAGCUGGAGACCUGCUUAGCUCACCCCUUGUGGAGAAAAUUUGAUCAGAUGUGAACAGACGGUGGUAGAACUAAACGUCCCUCUCUGAAGCUAUUUAUGCAAAAUAUUAUUUCCCCACCGGCUCUGCGUAUUAUUUGAGUGUGAACGAUAUUAUUUGCCUACAUCCGGCACAUCUUAUUAUUUGGCUCUAUUUUGACAGCAAACCACUUUAUCAGACCAUGUGCAAUUUACAUCUCACUUUUCCAAGGCACAGUUCUUUUUAGGAGAUGCACUUCUUUGUGAAGAUGGACAACACUAAACUUCAGUCUAAAGGUCUGUGGCCGAUUGCUUGCAUAUAAAGAGAUUUUCAUAAAUGUCCUCAAUAGCUAUGAAAAACUGGAAAAAUUAUAUCAUUAGCCACCCCGAUGUCUUCAGAGUUGCUGAGUGGUCAGCCCUUCAUUUGUGGACCACGCUGUGCCGAAACUGUUCUGCCAGUGCCCGCCUGACUGAGCCGCGUCUGGGCCCCCCAGCCACUCCACGGCUUCAGAGUCUGUGUCUUGAUGCCUCAGUGUUCUGCCCUCUCGGGCGGAGAAUGUUAAAGCCCAAAGGAAAUUUCAGACUUAAAGUGUCUGUGAUGAAAGGGACCUCGAGGGUCAUCUGCCCAAUGCGUUUAUGGAUGAGGACACUGAAUUGCAGCAGCGUGAAGUGGCCUGCCAAGGUCAUUCGGUGAGUUAAAGGCUGAGCCCAGGCUCCAUCCUGGGUGUCCUGACGUCCAGUCUACGGCCCUGUCCCCCCACUUGCAGUGGCCUCGUGGUGACUUGUGUUUUCCCUUUCAUGGCGGGAUGCAGGGAGAGUGAUGGCGGUCAGCGUUGCAACUCUCAAGCUCCUAUUGCUUCCACACAGCCAGCUCGGGUGGGGCAUCCUCUCCGUGAAGUUCCAUUUAGCUAGUAACUGUGUUACUCGGUUAAUUAAGUGGGAAAACACAGGCGCCACCCUUGACUUUUAAUAGUUUCAAUGCAACCUGUUCCCAUGGUGUUUUAACACCUCCUCCCCCACCCAACUCCACCCAACACCCACCUCUCCAGCAAGGAAUGAAUGUACACACUGGAGCUGUCUUCCCAGUAGGAAGGCAAGCUUCCGAAUGGGAGGUGCAGCUUUUUUAAAACGCUUUUGCUGCAUCAGAAGAGGUGGAG